AUUGAACGCUGGCGGCAGGCCUAACACAUGCAAGUCGAGCGAGCGGCGGACGGGUGAGUAAUGUCUGGGAAACUGCCUGAUGGAGGGGGAUAACUACUGGAAACGGUAGCUAAUACCGCAUCCCAUCAGAUGUGCCCAGAUGUGAUUAGCUAGUAGGUGGGGUAACGGCUCACCUAGGCGACGGUCCCUAGCUGGUCUGAGAGAAUGACCAGCCACACUGUAACUGAGACACGGUCCAGACUCCUACGUGAGUCAGCAGUGGGGAAUAUUGCACAAUGGGCGCAAGCCUGAUGCAGCCAUGCCGCGUGUGUGAAGAAGGCCUUCGGGUUGUAAAGCACUUUCAGCGGGGAGGCGUUACCCGCAGAAGAAGCACCGGCUAACUCCGUGCCAGCAGCCGCGGUAAUUC
rnacentral:rRNA from 1 species